rnacentral:rRNA from 1 species
AAAUUGAAGAGUUUGAUCAUGGCUCAGAUUGAACGCUGGCGGCAGGCCUAACACAUGCAAGUCGAACGGUAACAGAAAGCAGCUUGCUGCUUUGCUGACGAGUGGCGGACGGGUGAGUAAUGUCUGGGAAACUGCCUGAUGGAGGGGAUAACUACUGGAAACGGUAGCUAAUACCGCAUAACGUCGCAAGACCAAAGAGGGGGACCUUAGGGCCUCUUGCCAUCGGAUGUGCCCAGAUGGGAUUAGCUAGUAGGUGGGGUAACGGCUCACCUAGGCGACGAUCCCUAGCUGGUCUGAGAGGAUGACCAGCCACACUGGAACUGAGACACGGUCCAGACUCCUACGGGAGGCAGCAGUGGGGAAUAUUGCACAAUGGGCGCAAGCCUGAUGCAGCCAUGCCGCGUGUAUGAAGAAGGCCUUCGGGUUGUAAAGUACUUUCAGCGGGGAGGAAGGGAGUAAAGUUAAUACCUUUGCUCAUUGACGUUACCCGCAGAAGAAGCACCGGCUAACUCCGUGCCAGCAGCCGCGGUAAUACGGAGGGUGCAAGCGUUAAUCGGAAUUACUGGGCGUAAAGCGCACGCAGGCGGUUUGUUAAGUCAGAUGUGAAAUCCCCGGGCUCAACCUGGGAACUGCAUCUGAUACUGGCAAGCUUGAGUCUCGUAGAGGGGGUAGAAUUCCAGGUGUAGCGGUGAAAUGCGUAGAGAUCUGGAGGAAUACCGGUGGCGAAGGCGGCCCCCUGGACGAAGACUGACGCUCAGGUGCGAAAGCGUGGGGAGCAAACAGGAUUAGAUACCCUGGUAGUCCACGCCGUAAACGAUGUCGACUUGGAGGUUGUGCCCUUGAGGCGUGGCUUCCGGAGCUAACGCGUUAAGUCGACCGCCUGGGGAGUACGGCCGCAAGGUUAAAACUCAAAUGAAUUGACGGGGGCCCGCACAAGCGGUGGAGCAUGUGGUUUAAUUCGAUGCAACGCGAAGAACCUUACCUGGUCUUGACAUCCACGGAAGUUUUCAGAGAUGAGAAUGUGCCUUCGGGAACCGUGAGACAGGUGCUGCAUGGCUGUCGUCAGCUCGUGUUGUGAAAUGUUGGGUUAAGUCCCGCAACGAGCGCAACCCUUAUCCUUUGUUGCCAGCGGUCCGGCCGGGAACUCAAAGGAGACUGCCAGUGAUAAACUGGAGGAAGGUGGGGAUGACGUCAAGUCAUCAUGGCCCUUACGACCAGGGCUACACACGUGCUACAAUGGCGCAUACAAAGAGAAGCGACCUCGCGAGAGCAAGCGGACCUCAUAAAGUGCGUCGUAGUCCGGAUUGGAGUCUGCAACUCGACUCCAUGAAGUCGGAAUCGCUAGUAAUCGUGGAUCAGAAUGCCACGGUGAAUACGUUCCCGGGCCUUGUACACACCGCCCGUCACACCAUGGGAGUGGGUUGCAAAAGAAGUAGGUAGCUUAACCUUCGGGAGGGCGCUUACCACUUUGUGAUUCAUGACUGGGGUGAAGUCGUAACAAGGUAACCGUAGGGGAACCUGCGGUUGGAUCACCUCCUUACCUUAAAGAAGC